GAGAUCUUCAGAAAGAAUCGAAAGGCUGACGGAAAAAGAAUCUGCAUCCUCCAGUCUUGGGAAUGUCAACAGUGAUUUCUUAAACAUUGAACCAAGGGUAAAGGGCUCAUUUUUCUCAAGGACUGUAGCAGCUGCAUUGAUUUUUGAGUAUUUGUAGUAUGGACGAGAAGCAGUAUAUUGAUCCCACAGCUCAACAGGGCGGAUCAGUUUCUCAAAUGAUAAAGGAAAGUAACGCCUACUGCUUCCAUCAAUACUGGAAA
rnacentral:misc_RNA from 1 species